UACGUAGGGGGCAAGCGUUGUCCGGAUUUAUUGGGCUUAAAGGGUGCGUAGGCGGCUUUGUAAGUCAGUGGUGAAAUAUGGCAGCUCAACUGUCAAGGUGCCAUUGAUACUGCAGAGCUUGAGUACAGAAGAGGUAGGCGGAAUUGACGGUGUAGCGGUGAAAUGCUUAGAUAUCGUCAAGAACACCUAUAGCGAAGGCAGCUUACUAGGCUGUAACUGACGCUGAGGCACGAAAGUGUGGGGAUCAAACAGG
rnacentral:rRNA from 1 species